AAAGAAACCAACAGGGAUUACCUCAGUAACGGCGAGUGAAGCGGUAAGAGCUCAAAUUUGAAAGCUGGCUCCUUCGGGGUCCGCAUUGUAAUUUGCAGAGGAUGCUUCGGGAGCGGUCCCCAUCUAAGUGCCCUGGAACGGGACGUCAUAGAGGGUGAGAAUCCCGUAUGGGAUGGGGUGUCCGCGCCCGUGUGAAGCUCUUUCGACGAGUCGA
rnacentral:rRNA from 1 species